rnacentral:rRNA from 1 species
CAUUACUGAAGAAACAAGGGUUUUGAGACUGCGUCCUUCAUUGGCGUGUGCUCGACCCUUACUCUUUCAUCCCAUAUACACCUUUGUGCACCAAGGGACCUUGUGUCCCCUUUUUUUUCAUAAAUGCCGAGUUAUAUGCAUGUAUAUUUUGUAAUACUCUACGGAGUUAUAAAUACAACUUUCAACAACGGAUCUCUUGGCUUUCGCAUCGAUGAAGAACGCAGCGAACGUGCGAAACGUAAUGUGAAUUGCAGAAUUCAGUGAAUCAUCGAAUCUUUGAACGCAUCUUGCGCUCCUUGGUAUUCCGAGGAGCAUGCCUGUUUGAGUGUCGUGAAUAACUCUCAAUUUUAAUUUUAUUUUUGAAAUUGGAUUUGGGUGUUGUCGUGUUUGUACGACUCAUCCCUAAAUGCAUUAGCGAUCUGCCCUGAUCACACACAAUGUGAUAAGUAAAUAUUAAAACAUUGUUAUGGUUGGGUUUGAAAGAUCGCUUCUUAAUCGUCGUAAUGACAAAAUUGAGUCUCAAGGACUCAUGUCGUUUGACCUCAAAUCAGGCAGGACUACCCGCUGAACUUAAGCAUAUCAAUA